AACCCAUGGUGAGGGCACCUUCUCAAUAAAUCCUUAUGCCUUUCCCAUACAUCGUAUAGGGUCUCUAAGUCCAUCUGCAUAAAAGAAGAGAUAUCAUUCUUCAACUU
rfam:Gossypium arboreum cultivar AKA8401 contig_23760_5, whole genome shotgun sequence.